UACGUAGGGUGCAAGCGUUGUCCGGAAUUAUUGGGCGUAAAGAGCUCGUAGGCGGUCUGUCGCGUCUGCUGUGAAAACUCAGGGCUUAACCCUGAGCUUGCAGUGGGUACGGGCAGACUAGAGUGCGGUAGGGGAGACUGGAAUUCCUGGUGUAGCGGUGAAAUGCGCAGAUAUCAGGAGGAACACCGGUGGCGAAGGCGGGUCUCUGGGCCGUAAGCUGACGC
rnacentral:rRNA from 1 species